rnacentral:rRNA from 1 species
UACGAGGGGGGCGAGCGUUGUUCGGAAUUAUUGGGCGUAAAGGGUGCGUAGGCGGGUCUUUAAGUCAGGGGUGAAAUCCUGGAGCUCAACUCCAGAACUGCCUUUGAUACUGAGGAUCUUGAGUUCGGGAGAGGUGAGUGGAACUGCGAGUGUAGAGGUGAAAUUCGUAGAUAUUCGCAAGAACACCAGUGGCGAAGGCGGCUCACUGGCCCGGUACUGACGCUGAGGUGCGAAAGCGUGGGGAGCAAACAGGG